GCCCUAGCUUGCUAGGUGUCCUUAGUGGCGCACGGGUGAGUAACACGUGGGAACAUACCCUAUAGUACGGAAUAACUGCGGGAAACUGUAGCUAAUACCGUAUACUCCAGUAAUGGGAAAGAUUUAUCGCUAUAGGAUUGGCCCGCGCAAGAUUAGCUUGUUGGUGAGGUAAAAGCUCACCAAGGCUUCGAUCUUUAGCUGGUUUGAGAGGAUGAUCAGCCACACUGGGACUGAGACACGGCCCAGACUCCUACGGGAGGCAGCAGUAGGGAAUAUUGGACAAUGGGGGCAACCCUGAUCCAGCAAUGCAGCGUGAGUGACGAAGGCCUUAGGGUUGUAAAACUCUUUCAUCGGUGAGGAUAAUGACAGUAGCCGAAGAAGAAGGACCGGCUAAUUCCGUGCCAGCAGCCGCGGUAAUACGGAAGGUCCUAGCGUUGUUCGGAAUUACUGGGCGUAAAGCGCAUGUAGGCGGAACAGAAAGUUAGAAGUGAAAUCCCUGGGCUCAACCUAGGAAUUGCUUUUAAAACUUCUGUUCUGGAAUUCAGGAGAGGAAAAUGGAAUUUCCAGUGUAGAGGUGAAAUUCGUAGAUAUUGGAAGGAACACCAGUGGCGAAGGCGAUUUUCUGGACUGAUAUUGACGCUGAGAUGCGAAGGCAUGGGUAGCAAACGGGAUUAGAUACCCCGGUAGUCCAUGCAGUAAACGAUGGGUGCUAGUCGUCGGACUUUUGUUCGGUGUCGUAGCUAACGCGUUAAGCACCCCGCCUGGGGAGUACGGUCGCAAGAUUAAAACUCAAAUAAAUUGACGGGGACCCGCACAAGCAGUGGAGCAUGUGGUUUAAUUCGACGCAACGCGAAGAACCUUACCAGCGUUUGACAUGGAAAGUACCGGUUACAGAAUGGUAACCUUCAGUUCGGCUGGCUUUCGCACAGGUGCUGCAUGGCUGUCGUCAGCUCGUGUCGUGAGAUGUUGGGUUAAGUCCCGCAACGAGCGCAACCCUUAUCGUUAGUUACUAACAGUUCGGCUGAGGACUCUAGCGAAACUGCCGGUGAUAAGCCGGAGGAAGGUGGGGAUGACGUCAAGUCCUCAUGGCCCUUAC
rnacentral:rRNA from 1 species